rnacentral:rRNA from 1 species
AGAACGAACGCUGGCGGCAUGCCUAAUACAUGCAAGUCGAACGAACUCUUCGGAGUUAGUGGCGCACGGGUGCGUAACGCGUGGGAAUCUGCCCCUUGGUUCGGAAUAACAGUUGGAAACGACUGCUAAUACCGGAUGAUGACGAAAGUCCAAAGAUUUAUCGCCAAGGGAUGAGCCCGCGUAGGAUUAGCUAGUUGGUGAGGUAAAGGCUCACCAAGGCAACGAUCCUUAGCUGGUCUGAGAGGAUGAUCAGCCACACUGGGACUGAGACACGGCCCAGACU